rnacentral:rRNA from 1 species
GACGAACGCUGGCGGCGUGCUUAACACAUGCAAGUCGAACGAGAAUCUGCGGAAAGAGGAUUCGUCCAAUUGAAGCAGAGGACAGUGGCGGACGGGUGAGUAACGCGUGAGGAACCUGCCUUUCAGAGGGGGACAACAGUUGGAAACGACUGCUAAUACCGCAUGACACAUCGGAGUCGCAUGGCUCUGAUGUCAAAGAUUUAUCGCUGAAAGAUGGCCUCGCGUCUGAUUAGCUAGUUGGUGAGGUAACGGCCCACCAAGGCGACGAUCAGUAGCCGGACUGAGAGGUUGAACGGCCACAUUGGGACUGAGAUACGGCCCAGACUCCUACGGGAGGCAGCAGUGGGGAAUAUUGCACAAUGGGCGAAAGCCUGAUGCAGCAAGCCGCGUGAGUGAAGAAGUAUCUCGGUAUGUAAAGCUCUAUCAGCAGGAGAAAAUGACGGUACCUGACUAAGAAG